UUUAAAAUAGAUUACAAUUGGAGAAUGUUUACAAAUUGAUUAACUUAACCAAAAAAAGGUUUGUGUACGUAAAUGCAAAAGUUGUGCAUGUAAAAUAAAUACAUUCUUGUUUGUUUUAAAAGGGAUUAUGCGCCUGAUUAUAGAGUUUCUAAUACAUUGCCAUUCCAAAACUACCAUUAUGAAUAUAGUAUUCAUUACAUUUCCUAAAACCCAAAUCUUGACCGAAAUUACAGUACAACAUAAAAUAUUUGUUUUACACGUAAGCGAGAACUACUUUAUUUCCAAAAGCUCCCCAGGAUCAAGUUUUGCUUCGUUCCAGCUUGCACAUAUCGUACCGUCAUGACCUGCAAAAAGAUAAAAGCUUAAAUGAAAAAUUCUUAUCGCCAUAAGCACUUAACAACUGAAAACAGUUAAAAUAAUUUAAUUAAGAAAAUGAUUUGCACAUGGGACCACAAAUGAGGAUUGGGUGAAGGAUGGAAAUUCCAGGGAAUCUCAUUUUUGUUGUUUGAGAUACUGCUUCAUCAAUGUGAAGAGUCUCAUUCCAUAUUUUUUGGACAUACCGCUCUAGUGUCCUGUAAAAGUCUUAAGAUUUAGAUGAGAUAUCAUUCCAUUACUAACAUAUCUCGAUUAUGACGUCCAAGAUACUAUUCUGACGACUCCCAGAAAGUCUUAGCUGUUCCAUUUUACCUUAGGACAAUUUAUGUUACUAUUUCUCACUGCAUUUUCUUCCUGUAUUUUCUUCCUUGCAUUUCCAAGGACAAAAUUCGGGUCUUUCUUGUAUUUAAUUAUCUCCCACCAUGAAUGUAUGAAGACUGUUGUCUUUCUUACUUUCUAGUUCAAGGUAAUUAAAUAGGGGCAGCUGUCACACCCAAAUUUUGGCCGGAUAGUAAAAAAAAGGACUUCUAUUAGGCAUUCAUAAUCAUAGGUUACAACGCAUAGAAUCAGGGCUUGAGGGUCCUUAUUUGGCCGUAAUUUCAUCAACCAUAAUUAUGUCAAGUCUUCUUUUGGUGGCUCCUCAAACCUUAAAGUUCUUCAUCUUUCAUUAGUUUGUUUCCAGUUGCACAGGAUGAUUGAGUUUUUCACUGGUUCAUGGCCAUUUGGCUCCUCAAACCUUAAAGUUCUUCAUCUUUCAUUAGUUUGUUUCCAGUUGCACAGGAUGAUUGAGUUUUUCACUGGUUCAUGGCCAUUGUUUCUAGUAUAAGCUUUUGGUCCCAUGAGGUUUCACAUAUUUUCCUCCAUCUAUACAUUUUUUUCAUUUGAUCACUUCAAGCAUGCAGUUUGUUCUCGUUUGUUCAUCUUGUGUCUGUUGAUUUAUGUUAACUCGUUUAUACUUGAUUCCUGAUAAGGCAUAAGGGUUUUGUGUUAUCCACAUGUGGCCAAUGGUGUGGUCAUGGUCUUUCCAUUAUUUGUUCAUGGAUAUUUGGUUUAAGUCAUAGUCAUGAUUCACACAUCCAUUUACAAUAAAUUGCAUUUCAAUGAUCUAAGUCAUAUAUGCAAUUUUAUUCGAAUCUAUUGUCUCAUGAACGAGUUUUAGAUGCUAAUUUCUGUGUGACGAUUGUCUAAAGACCCAUAUGUGCAUAAAAUUCCUUUUUUUAUAUAAUUGUUUGACCUUUGGUCCACACAAUCAGUCCAAAUUUGCAAGUCUAAUAGUUUACUUGGUUUCAUGCUAAGCCACACUUAUUUCCUCUCUUUUUUUGUUUAAGUUCUUUAAAAUAGAUUACAAUUGGAGAAUGUUUACAAAUUGAUUAACUUAACCAAAAAAAGGUUUGCGUACGUAAAUGCAAAAGUUGUGCAUGUAAAAUAAAUACAUUCUUGUUUGUUUUAAAAGGGAUGAUGCGCCUGAUUAUAGAGUUUCUAAUACAUUGUCAUUCCAAAACUACCAUUAUGAAUACAAUAUUCAUUACAUUUCCUAAAACCCAAAUCUUGACCAAAAUUACAGUACAACACAAACUUUUUGUUUUACACGUAAUCGAGAACUACUUUAUUUCCAAAAGCUCCCCAGGAUCAAGUUUCGCUUCGUUCCAGCUUGCACAUACCGUACCGUCAUGACCUGCAAAAAGAUAAAAGCUUAAAUAAAAAAUUCUUAUUGCCAUAAGCACUUAACAGCUGAAAACAGUUAAAAUAAUUUAAUUAAGAGAAUGGUUUGCACAUGGGACCACAAAUGAGGAUUGGGCGAAGGAUGGAAAUUCCAUCACCA
rnacentral:lncRNA from 1 species